UCUCAUGCCAUUUUUGUUUUUUUGUACAAAUUUCUUUUCUUCUGUAACCAAAUUCACGAUUGUUGUUUUUGCCACCACCUAUAUCCUCCCUAAUUGCAUAAUCAUAUUAAGAAGCAGCUUGACCAUUGUUGACUUACAUUCCAUGUUAUUCAUUGGAAUUUAUGUCCUUAUACCCAGCAUUUGGUCUAGCAAAAAUAAGGAGGUUUUUGGAGCAGUGAUGAUGGAAGGGAGUUGAUUAGAGCCCCUUGCUCAAGAUUGGAAGACAGCAAGGAAAUGAGCAAUUACCGUUGAGA
rnacentral:lncRNA from 1 species